UGUGUACUCCCUCCGUUCCAAAAUACUUGACUUCCAUUUGUCCAAAAGUGGAUGUACCUAUAUACUAAAACAUGUGUAGAUACAUAUAUAUUUUGACAAAUAGAAGGCAUGUAUUGUGCAACGGAGGGAGUAGAAU
rnacentral:pre_miRNA from 1 species